CUUGGACUUGUACCACAUCUCAGCCUCAGCCCGGCUUCGGUUAGCGAUGUCUUCAUACUGAGCGCGGACCUCAGCGACGAUGGCAUCCAUGUCGAGAUUCCUGCUGUUGUCCAUCUCCACAACAACUGAUGUGUCCUUGAUCUGAGACUGCAGCUCACGGAUCUCCUACAAGUUCACAAUGAGAGAGCAAAACAUUAUCAAAGUGUGUUUUGUCAUACGUAAAUGAACUAUAUGUUUAGUGGGAAUCUCUAGCUGUAAUUUACCUCCUCAAAGAUCUGCCUGAGGAAAUUGAUCUCGUCAGUGAGGCUUUCCAGUCUGGCUUCCAGCUCAACCUUAUUCAUGUAGGCCUCAUCGACAUCCUACAAAAAGCAAACAUAAUUUAAUCAUCAUUUAAGAUAAAAGUAAGCGUUUGUGAAUAGUUACAUUGUUUUGAACUAUGUGAGUAAAAGACAAUCUACGAACCUUCUUGAUAAGCACAAAAUCAUUCUCACACUCUGUGCGCUUGUUGAUCUCAUCCUCAUACCUGAAGAGAAGUGAAGAAAAUGACUUUGUUUAAAAUCAGGAAUGUUUUGAAUUGUUUAUGAAUGGGUUUUGUACACUAGGGGGCAGCAAUGCUCCAUCUUUCGUAUGAAACGCUUGUUCUUUUUCUGGAUUCAGUUCAGUGUCACCCAUGGGUUUUAGCAUUAAUCGGCCCAUCAGAUUUGAAUGAAUGAAUGAAUGGAUGAAUGAUUUGUUUGGAGAUCCAUGAAAGGUGCUGCUUAGAUGUUUGUUCAAUAGCUGUAAUCUAUCUGACUCAUGCUGAUGCCCAUUUAAUCACUGAAUUGCUGAAAUUCUUAUAAUAUGAUUCAAAUCUCAAAAAGGAUGGACAAUGGGCAAGUAUACCAGGGAGAGACUAGAGCAACUAUGCAGUUUCUGUAUCAGUUACAUAAGCAAUGUUGGAUAAUGAAUUGAGUUCAUUCCCAUCGGACCUUUAAAACAUGUUUUCCCUCCAUUUGAAUUUAUAGAGCCUCAUUUAUUCUGGGAAAACUUAAGUGCACCACAAAAGCCUCCUUUGAAAAUACUUGGGCGCUGUCCAUCCCCCAGACCAAACGUCCAGCCAAAUUAAAAUGAGGCUUUUGUGAAAGUCAUUGUACGUACUUGUUUUUGAAGUCUUCAACAAGGCCUUGCAUGUUGUGCAGGUCAGCCUCCAGCUUCAUUUUGUCAUUGCCAAGGCUGUCGAGCUGUCUGCGCAGAUUGGUGAUGUAGGCCUCGAACAUGGCGUCAAUGUUGGAGCGUGUGGCCGUCUGGUUCUGAAGGAGGCUCCAUUUUGUCUCCAGCAUCUUGUUUUGCUGCUCCAGGAAACGUACCUACAUUGGCAAGAUUAGAAUAGAGGUUUUGUCUAAAUCAAGGCACAAAUGACAACCAUACUUGGCAGCAAAUGCAGCUUCGGAGAGCAACGCCCCCAGACCAAUGUUGCAAAGUCAUUUUGGAAUCAUGGUUCUGCGCCAGCUCACAGAAGUGAGACCAUAUGCCAACAUAGUGCUUGUGGUUCAUGAUCUUCACAAAGGAAAGCACUGUUUUCCUUAAAUAACGAGAUAGGCACAUGUUUUCAGUUUGUAACACUUUUUCCCCCUUGGAAAUGAUGACGCAUAUUCCAGUAGAACAUCAGGAAGGGUGACUAGACCUGUACCUAUCCUGUGGAUGGGACUGUCUACAUAGUUAAUAUUCAAGGGACGGCAGGAAGAGACCAGAUCUGCUAGAGUCUCUUAAAAGAGUGUGCAAAUGGUGGGCGGAGAGCAAAUAAUUCAGUGAUAAAACUUUAACAGCUCAAGGUGAACAUUGCACACACAAUAAGGUUACAGUAAAGGUAUCACUGAGCCAGCUGACAUUACUAAUCAGGUUUCUUAUUCAAAACAGUGUGUUUUAAAUAAAUAAUAUAAUGCAAAGCAGACUAUUAUAGUUAAGAGGAAGGGCACAAAGACUUAAAGGCUUUAAAGUGUGGCAGAAUAUUUCCUCUUCUCGUUGCUUUGAACGCUGUUACGUAACCUAUCCAGUGCUAUCCAGAACAUGACCCCGGUUUUUGAAAUUAAAUAUUAACUAUCUAGAUAUGUGACUAUCUUUUCUUCUGAUAUGGAUAUUUUUGUUUGGAAAUGUAAUAAUACAUAGUUUGUAAUAAUUUAACCAGGUUAAUAUGCAGAUUACAGGUUUCAUGUCCUUCAGCACAUCCUUAUUUGGGUGUGGACUCUCUACAAGGGUUUCAGAAGAGCUUCAAGGCAUCCCAUUCAAAUGAAAAGCCAUCACACUCUGACCAUGUACACACCCUUUUCUCCACUUUCCAUAAGACUCGUUUCUUUCCCUUUGAUGAGAAUGUAUCCAACCCCAUAAAUAUUUUCUGUGCCACACUAGAUAAACUUCUAGAGAUGUUUUAUGCAAGAACAUGCAGUCAGUUUCAUCAUCUUGUGGCAUUUUUUUUGAGUUAUUAGUUUGACUCUUCAACCAAUAAAACUGCAAAGAAAGAAACUUUAAACCCACCUUAUCAAUGAAGGAAGCGAAACGGUUGUUGAGGGACUUCAUCUGCUCCUUCUCCUGGGUGCGGACAACCUGGAUGUUGGGGUCGAUCUCCAGGUUCAGAGGUGCCAGGAGGCUCUUGUUGAAAGUGACCGCUUGAAUGGGUGCUACGACACCGGUACCCAUGCCCAUGCCAAGACCAUAGGAGCUGCGCACACUGUAGCUCUGCCGGCUGACGCUGGGGCCAGAGUAAGACAUACUGCUGAAGCUGCGUGGAGCAGAUCCAGAGGAAGAGGACUUCACAGUGUAGCUGGUUUUCUUGGUGAACGACAUCCUGCUGAUGUGUUUUCUGUCUUGUGCUGGUAGAGAAUGACCUGGAGCAAGAGGGAGCAGCAGAUUAAGCCUUGUCUGCUGUGCUGGAGAAACUCGAGCAGAUAGAGAACAGCAGACUCUGCCUCCUACUAUAUGUGCUGCUGAGUGGGAGGAGCCAAAAGAAGGCUCUGAUUGGCCG
ensembl:lncRNA